rnacentral:rRNA from 1 species
UGCAGUCGAGCGGUAGAGAGAAGCUUGCUUCUCUUGAGAGCGGCGGACGGGUGAGUAAUGCCUAGGAAUCUGCCUGGUAGUGGGGGAUAACGUUCGGAAACGGACGCUAAUACCGCAUACGUCCUACGGGAGAAAGCAGGGGACCUUCGGGCCUUGCGCUAUCAGAUGAGCCUAGGUCGGAUUAGCUAGUUGGUGAGGUAAUGGCUCACCAAGGCGACGAUCCGUAACUGGUCUGAGAGGAUGAUCAGUCACACUGGAACUGAGACACGGUCCAGACUCCUACGGGAGGCAGCAGUGGGGAAUAUUGGACAAUGGGCGAAAGCCUGAUCCAGCCAUGCCGCGUGUGUGAAGAAGGUCUUCGGAUUGUAAAGCACUUUAAGUUGGGAGGAAGGGUUGUAGAUUAAUACUCUGCAAUUUUGACGUUACCGACAGAAUAAGCACCGGCUAACUCUGUGCCAGCAGCCGCGGUAAUACAGAGGGUGCAAGCGUUAAUCGGAAUUACUGGGCGUAAAGCGCGCGUAGGUGGUUUGUUAAGUUGGAUGUGAAAUCCCCGGGCUCAACCUGGGAACUGCAUUCAAAACUGACUGACUAGAGUAUGGUAGAGGGUGGUGGAAUUUCCUGUGUAGCGGUGAAAUGCGUAGAUAUAGGAAGGAACACCAGUGGCGAAGGCGACCACCUGGACUAAUACUGACACUGAGGUGCGAAAGCGUGGGGAGCAAACAGGAUUAGAUACCCUGGUAGUCCACGCCGUANACGAUGUCAACUAGCCGUUGGAAGCCUUGAGCUUUUAGUGGCGCAGCUAACGCAUUAAGUUGACCGCCUGGGGAGUAC